AUAUUGGUCAAUGGGUGAGAGCCUGAACCAGCCAUGCCGCGUGCAGGAAGACGGCCUUCUGGGUUGUAAACUGCUUUUGUCAGGGGAUAAAAAGCCCAUGCGUGGGAACUUGAAGGUACCUGACGAAUAAGCCACGGCUAACUACGUUCCAGCAGCCGCGGUAAUACGUAGGUGGCGAGCGUUGUCCGGAUUUAUUGGGUUUAAAGGGUGCGUAGGCGGCCGCAUAAGUCAGUGCUGAAAUAUCCCGGCUUAACCGGGAGGGUGGCAUUGAUACUGUGCGGCUUGAGUGAAGUCGAGGUAGGCGGAAUUGACGGUGUAGCGGUGAAAUGCUUAGAUAUCGUCAAGAACACCGAUAGUGUAGACAGCUUACUAGGCUUUAACUGACGCUGAGGCACGAAAGUGUGGGGAUCAAACAGG
rnacentral:rRNA from 1 species